GGAUAGACCAUGCGUGGUUCUGCAGGUGUCCCACCCUUCUCUCAUCACAUGGAUGCUUUAGAAGCGUCUCCCAGAGGUCUGCUCUCCCUGGCUGAUGUGUCAGCAUUAAGCUCGGCCUGCCUGCUCGGCUGCUGGGGCCGUGGUGGCGACCAGCCCAGCCUGGCCAAAAGCCAGACCAGACAUGUCUUGGCACCAGACAACAGAGAUGUGACAGGAUCAACGAUUGGGGUGGAAUAUGCUCAUACAUGCAGCGUGAAGGGAGAAAGAAGCGACGGGACGGAGGAUGAAAGAAGACGUGCACAAAGAUCCCAGGUCGGACUCUGAACCGGGACGUCGUGCUUGCAUGUGCUUGUUGGGGUCAAAGGCUGAGGGCUGGUGAGUGGUGACCCGAGUGAGAGGCCUGGGUGCCAUCUGACCUCUAAGUGGAUGUGCAGCUGACCCUGGAGGAUACUGCUCAACAAAGGGAGGCACGUGCC